UGAGGAAUAUUGGGCAAUGCCCGCAAGGGUGACCCAGCAACGCCGCGUGGAGGAUGAAUGUCGUAAGAUUGUAAACUCCUGUUAGAGGGGAAGAAUAGUACCGGUUGGACCGGUAUAUGACUGUACCCUCAGAGAAAGCCCCGGCUAACUACGUGCCAGCAGCCGCGGUAAUACGUAGGGGGCAAGCGUUGUCCGGAUUUACUGGGUGUAAAGGGCGCGCAGGCGGGAUAAAAAGUCAGUGGUGAAAUCCUACAGCUUAACUGUAGAACUGCCUUUGAUACUUUUAUUCUUGAGUUCGGGAGAGAGAGACGGAAUUCCAGGUGUAGUGGUGGAAUACGUAGAUAUCUGGAAGAACACCAGUUGCGAAGGCGGUCUCUUGGUCCGACACUGACGCUGAGGCGCGAAAGCGUGGGGAGCAAACA
rnacentral:rRNA from 1 species